rnacentral:rRNA from 1 species
UACGGGGGGAGCAAGCGUUGUUCGGAUUUACUGGGCGUAAAGGGCGCGUAGGCGGCGUGACAAGUCACUUGUGAAAUCUCCGGGCUUAACUCGGAGCGGUCAAGUGAUACUGUCGUGCUAGAGUACAGAAGGGGCAACUGGAAUUCUCGGUGUAGCGGUGAAAUGCGUAGAUAUCGAGAGGAACACCUGAGGCGAAGGCGGGUUGCUAGGCUGACACUGACGCUGAGGCGCGAAAGCUAGGGUAGCAAACGGG